UCCAUAAAAGAAAGCUGCAUCAAUUUUAAUGGGCUUUGCAACAGGUCUCAAACAUUUCAAGAGUAGAAGCACUCCGUUCCUGCAACCACAGCAUUGGCAGAAGCAGGACAGCACAUUGGCCAAAUGGCAGGAAGAUAAUAGGGACCUAAAAAGCAGGGUAUGACCAGUAGAUCUCAGCAGGAAUCCCUAACUCCAGUAGUUAAAGCUGAGCUACUGCUGCAGUGUACAGCCUGUCAGCAGAGGAAUUAUCACUGUCAUGACACUAGACCUAUUAUCUCGGAGAGAUUUUAAAGACAGAGUGGAGUAGCUUACAUGGGAUGGGCUCAGUCACUAGGCACAGAGCCUUUGCUAUUUCCCUCAAGACUGUUGAGGAACAAAUGCAUUUAAUUUCCACACUUCUUUACUGGAGGAAAAAAACAAACAAACAAACAAAAAAAAAAAAACAUAGCCUUUUAAGUCUAGGAAUUGAGUCUUUGGUGAUAUCAUAGGCUAGCAGAAGGGAAAGACCUUCUUAAUCCUUCUUCCCCAUUGUCCCUCUGAAGUAGAAGACUUUCCUUCAUUAGGGAGAGACAUGGGAGACAGCCACUACUCAUGUCCCAGGCACAAGAAAAGCUCAAAGCAAGUUUUUCAGCUUAUUGGAACAACCCCUGUGUCCGUUCCAUUCCCUCCUUCCCUCCUCCCCCCAAAAAAUAAAAUAAAAUAAACACCUAUGGAGGUAUGGAGGCACAUACUCAAAUGAGACUGAGUAUCUCCUGCACUCUACAUCAUCCUCCACAAGAUAAACCUGACCACUUUUGUGUAUGGCAAACACAGCCCCAGGUCAUCUCCUGCUGUACUCAGGUGCCUCUGUCAUCAUCCCAGCCACUCCAAUGAGACUGCUUGCAUGUGAAACAGGUCUUAGGGUGUCUACUUUUCAGCAAACAAUAAAUCAUUUUUUUCUGCUGGUCUUGGCCUUUAAUAAAGGUUACCACAUUUCACCUACUCUUCUUCAGAAAAAGGUCUUGUUUAUUCAUCUGCUGGGUAAUAUUGUCAUCCUGCACAGGUAUGUGCACUCAAAGGUAUUUAAACAUCCUCCAACACAUCUCUGGGCAACACAGCUACCAUCUGUUAUUCUCUCUCUCUUGGCCAGCACAGUAAAUGAUAAAUGAAUCUGUAUAUUCCUCUUCCAGGUUUGUUUUGUUGUGCUUCUGGGUUUCUUGAUGCAUUGAAAAUGCACUUUGGGCCAAGUCCUGCACAGCAUGAAAAGUGAUGGAAUGAUGCGAAUAACUGCAAUUCUUUAAAGUGCCCUGGGAUGUGUAGCACUCUGCAUGCAUAAGUCACUCCUAAGAGCAACCAGAAUAAAACCUGUGACUGGCAGUGCAGGAUUCUGAAAUGUAACUAAAGUGGUUGGGAAGGCUUUGCAGUGACACAGCUCUUCAUGCACUGAAAUGCAUGCGCUGAAGCUCCAUAAGCCUGGUCAUCCAUUCCCUUUGAUAGCUUUAAAAUAGACCAAGACAAAUGAAAGGUUUAAUCUGUGCUGAUGCAGAAAGAAUCAUUUUCUGGAAUUCUUUGCUAUUGCUGUGGAAGUAUCACCCCAAGUAUUUAUGUUCAUUCUUUUUCUGUUUCAGAGUGUGGAAUUCUCCUGCUGGCAUAUUUAUUUUUCCUAAUACCACUAAAUACAUACUGAAAACUGACUGAAAUAGCCUGGCUUCUUUAAGAGAUUAGAUGUCAGAGGUGAUGGGAAGCAUUUGAAGGAGGAACAACCCUUCAGAUACCAAGGAGAGCUGAGUGGGUCAAGGAAUCAUGGCUGUCAUUUUCCUGCUUCAAGAUGCCACUUCAAAUCUAGCCCAAAUGAAGAAUGAGCCUUAAGUACCUGCCCACGAGAAAUGAACCAGCAACAUGUGUUAGUUAAUUAUGGAGACAUGUAAAUAGCACAAAGCACAUGAUGCUUUACAAUGAUUUUGUAACCUUUUAAUCUUCCAGCAGGCAAAAAUGGGUCUGCAGCAAAGACGCAAUGGUCACAAGUUUUCUGGGUGCUCUGCUACCUUGCUGCUGUCCUGCUAAUUGAACCGGCUUGUUCUGACAUGACAGUAUGUUUCCUAAUAAAGUGUUACUAUAAGGUGAGACAAAGCAAUGAAAAUGGUAGUUCCCAUCCAAAACACUACAGCCUGACUCAUCACUUGGUUGUAUCCUAUGACUGCAAAGCCCCCCAAAAAAGGAAGGCAGCACUUUGGAAUAGGACUCAUUUCUAAAUAGUGCUUGGAUCCACGCACAACAGAAGGACAACGGCCUUAUUUUUAUCCCUUUCCCAUUGUCAGAAGGCUCAUAUUUCAGCAAGUAUAAUUAGUGCAGAGAUUUCAGAGCUGAAAAAGCCAGGGAAAUGUCAGCACAGAAGGCCCCACAAGCUAAAGGGGAGACGCCAUCCAAACAUCAACUGGACAAAGAAAAAUGGCAUCUCUCCCUGACAUUUCAACCCCUGGAGGAGAGGGAAACGUGGACUGUAAAGGAAACAUUGACUGUACACUGAACAUACUUCACCGUCCCCUUGGGAAAAGUAACUUUGCCAGUUCACAGCAUGUGGGAUCAGCAGCUGGCUACAAUCAGGUCCAGCUCAGACUCAUCCCCAACUAACCACAUGGUCUCAAAUACUUUUGUUAGCCAGACUUUUAAGUAACACUCCUUUUUGUUAAGAUACCUCCGUUCAGGGCCUUAAUUAGAGGCAACAGAUCGUGUUGAUUUCAAUGGCCCAGACCUCAGCUGAGCUCAAUUACACUUGCAGGUGACCUGCACCUCUGAUGGUCAGGCCUAAGUGCCUCAUAUUAGACAUUGAAAUUAGUACACUGCACUGCUUGCAGAACUAGUAGUUUUAAAUCUUAUGAUGAAAAGUGUAUGUUGUAAUGAAUUCUAAUUUUCUCAUGUUAUGGGUGAGCCUUGAAUAAAUAUAUAUAUAUAUAUAUAU